UUUCAGUAAAGAGCUCAAUUACAUGACCAACAACAAAUGGGUAAUCCUAUUCAUAUCAAGUGAACAAUAGAGUGCUUGUUAUUUAGAAGGUAUUGUGACCGAGCUCCAGGCUUUUGUAACCAGUGGUUUACUUAAGUCUCUCCUCUCUAUGUGUUAAUAUUAUACAUUAUAUAUACUAUGUAUACAUAUUAUGUAUUUAGUAUUCUACUCAGCUAUUCCAUUCAACCUCCAUUGAAGACUGUGUGACUUUAUUACAGAAAUAGAGUUCACAGUAAAGACGACUUGCAUACAAAAGUCCUAUAUUUUUAUUUUACAAUGCUAUUUUCUUUCAGCAAAAUUAAAAAGCUGGCGCUGCCAAGAUCGCCUGCGUUUUGGAACAGGAUGGAAACUAGCCUCCUUUUCAGAUCCCUGGCGUCCUGGUGAUUUGAUUAAGAACACAAGUACCCAGCAAGCAAGAAGCACCUUGAGAGCUGCCCGGGGGACAUUUCAGAGGAAAGCCCCAGGGAAAAGGAGAGGUCUGACAAGAGCAGCCCGCAGGCUACAUCGUGCUGAUGCCGCUCCCUUUUACAGGUGAACUUUCACAGAAAAGCAGUUUUAAGUUCACAGAAGGGGUUCGGAUGACCUUCAGAAGCUGGGCGUCCAGCGUUUCCACUUUGGCCUCGCGUUUUAACAUAGUGUGGCGAGAGCCGACCUCCCCCGACAGACCUGCACUCGGAGGCACAGCGGCUCGCUCCAGCCGCCGGGUCGCGUCCGGGUGCGGAGCUCAGAGCGCCCGGGUCGCGGGCAUCGGGGCGGGUGUGUUGCCGGAGUAGCCUCGGAUUGGCUGCCCUAGGGCCGCCCUACCCGGGCACCGGAUUGGGCGGAGCUGGGCCCUGCUGGCCGAGCUCAUUGGAGGGAGCGGCAGGGGCGGGGCGGGCUGGGUGCCGACCGGGCGCGCGGGCGGCGGAGCGGGCGCCGGGCCGACCCGGCCUGCGGGCGGCGCGAGGUCCUGAAGCCGAGGCGCGCCGGUUGGGGCUACCGUGUCCCGGGCAGUCUCUGCGUCCGCAGAACGGCCACUCCGAGACAGCUUCCGCCAGCGCCCUCCUCUGCAUCCUGCGCCGGCCGCUCCGCCGGCGGGGCCGCGCACGGGCGCCGCGGGCCGGCCAGCUGUCGGGGGCGGCGGGCGGCGCGGGACACAAAGAGCGCGCGAGGGCGGCAGACGCGGGACGGCGCCUUCGGCCGCGCCCGCCGGCCGCUCCAAGGCCGCGGAGACCAUACGGCCCCGGCCCGCUCGCGCACCUCCCGGCCGGAGGGCCGUCGGCCGCCGAGCGGGCACCGGGAGCCGGGAAAAGUUGGCGGCGCGUCCGCCGCGGGGAGGCCCGGGGCCGCGGGGGAGAAAAGACACUUUUUACAGAGCUGGGAGCUCAUAAACGUCUCAAAAGAAAGAUGCUGGAUAAUUGGAAAUAAGAAUUUGAGUUUCCUGGUUUUCUGUGUGUGUACAACCCAUAGGAAAUUCUUCCCAGUAAAUUCCUGUAGCCUUCAGACAUUUUCAAGAGGCAAAGGACCAGUGGAUUGGAUUGGUGACUGCAGCUUUGUCAGCAGCCGUGACUCCAUGUCCCAGGAUGCAGGGCAACCCAUCUGGGGAAGACCCAAGGAGGCAGAGGAUGCCCUUCUAUGCAAACUACGGUGGCAGGACCAGCCUUCCACCUCCCUGGAGGUGAUCUGUGCUCUGGAUGUGCUGACUUGGAGAAGCAGGAAACUCUUCUCAGGAACUAACGACUUUAUUCCUAAAUCCAAUGGAGAUAUUUAUGGUGAGCUGGGAUAA
rnacentral:lncRNA from 1 species